rnacentral:tRNA from 3 species
GGGCCGGUAGCUCAGUGGUUAGAGCAGGCGACUCAUAAUCGCUCGGUCGGGAGUUCGAUCCUCCCCCGGCCCACCA